rnacentral:rRNA from 1 species
UACGUAGGGUGCAAGCGUUGUCCGGAAUUAUUGGGCGUAAAGAGCUUGUAGGCGGUUUGUCGCGUCUGCUGUGAAAUUUCGGGGCUCAACCCCGAACUUGCAGUGGGUACGGGCAGACUAGAGUGUGGUAGGGGAGACUGGAAUUCCUGGUGUAGCGGUGAAAUGCGCAGAUAUCAGGAGGAACACCGAUGGCGAAGGCAGGUCUCUGGGCCACUACUGACGCUGAGACGCGAAAGCUAGGGGAGCGAACAGG